rnacentral:rRNA from 1 species
UACGAAGGGGGCUAGCGUUGCUCGGAAUGACUGGGCGUAAAGCGUGCGCAGGCGGUUUUGUAAGCCAGAUGUGAAAUCCCCGGGCUUAACCUGGGAAUGGCAUUUGGGACUGCAAGGCUUGAGUGCGGCAGGGGAGACUGGAAUUCCUGGUGUAGCAGUGAAAUGCGUAGAUAUCAGGAGGAACACCGGUGGCGAAGGCGGUGAUCUGGGCCGACACUGACGCUGUAGAGCGAAAGCGUGGGGAGCGAACAGG